AUCUUUGCGCUUGGGGCAAAACACUGUGAAGUGACCUAAUAGGGAUCAGGUGUUUUUGCUGGUUGAAAACUAUAUCCAAUGCCCCGACUUACGACCUAACGGUCGGAAGUCAAUUUUUGAAGGCUCUUCGGAGC
rfam:Acanthamoeba castellanii str. Neff unplaced genomic scaffold scf7180000084670, whole genome shotgun sequence.